rnacentral:misc_RNA from 1 species
GUAAAAUUUUUUGGCCUUUAAUGAAAAGUGUAGGAAGGAGGAUACCAAGAAGGCCAAGAAAAAUUUCCCAAAUUGAAGUCUAUAAAUUAAUCCCUUGGACUUCCCUCCACCACUGAAUUCUGCGUGCAGAUCAGCAUGGACAAAGAACAUCGAGAGCUCCAGCUGUCUCUUGGGUUCUUUGGAAUCUUGAAAGAAUCCUUCAAGAUCGUAUUUUCAUGCAGAAAAACCUUUAGCCAGAUAACCCUAAUUCUUAUUCUUGCUCUCUCCUUAAUCGCUCCAAUCCAGCUCUUUGAUCUCCUUAUUUUACGAAAACACAGCUCAGAUUGCCCAAAACAAACUAGUUAUCUUAAAUGCAUCCAAGACAACUGCAAAGCAAUAAAUGAUUCCUCUCAAUCCUAUGUUUCCCUUGCAUGCACCCAAGAGAAGUGCCAUACACAAACUGAUUUCUCUGAUCUCCUUAAAUGCAUAGAGCCCUCCCUGUCCCAUAAGAUCAUCUCCUCUCUCUUACAUUUCAUCUCCUACACUCUCCUUCUAAUCGUUACAGUUUUCACUGCUUCUGCGGUUGCUUAUGCUGUUGCAGGCAUACAAAUUUCGGAGUCAAUCACCUUCAAGAAGGUGAAGACUGCAGUGCCAAAUGUUUGGAAGAGACUUAAGCUCACUAAUAAGUGCAGUUCUGCCAUUAUUUCCUUGUAUAAUAUGAUCUUUGCAGCAGGAGUAAUCAUCUUGUUGGUGCUCAAUAAUCAUCAUAAUGCAUCAUCUGCGAUUCUAGCGAUUUUUAUUGCGCUUCUCUGGAUUUUAUUUUUUAUUGGGUUUUCUUAUAUUGCCAUUUUUUCGUAUUUGGCUACUGUGGUUUCUGUUUUAGAGGAAAUUUAUGGGAUGAAAGCUAUGUUCAAGAGCAAGAAGUUGAUAAAGGGCAAGAUUGGAGUUACUGUUGCUCUUCUUAUUAUGUGGGGAAUUUGUUUUUUUAUAAUUGUAAUGCUUCUUGUGGUAUGUGUGCUAACGGAUGGGGUGUUGCUUAGAAUUGGAAUCGGAAUCCUUUGCUUCUUGCUGAUGUCGGUGCUGAUAAUAUUUGGGCUUGUAAAUCAAACAAUUCUCUACUUUGUGUGCAAAUCCCAUCAUCAGGAGAACAUUGACAUGUCCUCUUUAGCGGCCCACCUUGAGACUUAUCUUGUAGAGGGUACUUCAGAAGCAGCUGAUUACGCAAUGGAGCAAAUUCAAAGCGUAAUAACUAAUUAGAACUUUUUUCUAUCAAUUUCUGCAUAGAGAUACGCACUAUAGGUUGUCAAUAGUUUGUAUGACAUAUAUGAAAUUGCUUUCUUGUUAAUUUUAUGAUGUUAAGUGAUGCAUAGCUUUCAUGUAUUUUGCUUAUUAAUAUAUAAACGUUGUUUUUUU